CCCAACACUUCCAGUACAACGGGACAUCGGGUACCAGAUUGCUCAUUUCCGGUCGCCUGUGCUACACCAAGCUCAGAAAGGGAAAGCGGAUCACACAGCCACCAUCAGCGCGCUAGAACUCCAAGGAGGAUCUGCGAGCGGCGCGCCAGGCGCCGUCGGAGCAGCCCCUGGUAGCGACAGCCGCCGCGCCGUCGGAGCAGUCCCUGGGAGCCACGGCCAGCCGCUGUCGGAGCAGCCUCUGGGAGCCGGCCGGCCGCCGUCGGAGAGGCCUCUGGGAACUUACCUGUAACUGACUGCGGCUGACGUGUGUGUCCGUGUGCGCGCGUGUGUGUGUGCGUUUCCACUGGCAGUGAUAGUGACAGGUGAACGGUGUUCAUGACCGAUGGCCGGCGGUCUUUGUUGUUAUUCUGAUAAUACGUAUGAUACAUUGUUUUAAUAUGUUUUGUUCUGAAACGUUUCCAAAAACUGAAUCACUUCAUUAUCAUUCUACUUAAUUAAAGCAUGUUUACCAGAUAAAAGGAUUUGCAAAUCAAAGGAAGUAAAAUUGUGUGAAAAUUUACUCAGUUGCGCAGCUAGCCAACACACAUUUGCUACUGUCAGGCCGCUAUGGAACAUGUUCAAAGUAGCUCAACGUAUUGAAUGACUCACUGCUCCCCCCCCCCCCCCCCCGCCAACGUUGGCGCGCAUUGGGCGCAGGCACAAGAGUGGUAUCAACGACCGCCGUCUUGAGCUGCACCAGGGUCUGCUGACUCUUCGUCAUGUAUGGUGCAUUGUUCAGAUAUCCCCGCUGCACGCUGUACGCUGUACGCCACUGUUUCGUUAUAAUAUUUUCUGCUCGAUUUGUUUGAAAUAUGGAAAUAUGUAUAGACACUGGAUGUGCAAAGCGUCCGUGUAGGACA